UGGGGAAUUUUGGACAAUGGGCGAAAGCCUGAUCCAGCAAUGCCGCGUGUGUGAAGAAGGCCUUCGGGUUGUAAAGCACUUUUGUCCGGAAAGAAAUCCUUGGCUCUAAUACAGUCGGGGGAUGACGGUACCGGAAGAAUAAGCACCGGCUAACUACGUGCCAGCAGCCGCGGUAAUACGUAGGGUGCAAGCGUUAAUCGGAAUUACUGGGCGUAAAGCGUGCGCAGGCGGUUUGCUAAGACCGAUGUGAAAUCCCCGGGCUCAACCUGGGAACUGCAUUGGUGACUGGCAGGCUAGAGUAUGGCAGAGGGGGGUAGAAUUCCACGUGUAGCAGUGAAAUGCGUAGAGAUGUGGAGGAAUACCGAUGGCGAAGGCAGCCCCCUGGGCCAAUACUGACGCUCAUGCACGAAAGCGUGGGGAGCAAACAGGAUUAGAUACCCUGGUAGUCCACGCCCUAAACGAUGUCAACUAGUUGUUGGGGAUUCAUUUCCUUAGUAACGUAGCUAACGCAUGAAGUUGACC
rnacentral:rRNA from 1 species